AUUAACAUUAACUUACCAUCUGACUUGCUUUGGCCCGUGGAAUGUGAUCAGAAUAUAUGCUAUGCCUGAGUUGAUGCUUUAUGAGUCAUUGCCUUCUUCCACCAUUUUUCUUUCCUUUCCCCAACAAAGAUUAUUUGCCUCACAUAAGGGCUGCUCCCUUAGCUUGGAACCCAGGAUUAAGAAGGUAUACAGUAUAGAACCAUAGCCAAACCAAAGAUGACAGGUUUUGUGAUUCAGGAGGUUUGAAAUGGACCGCAGAAAUGUCUACUUCAGCACAUCUCCAUACCUAGGAUCCUAAUGACAGUGACCCAUGGGCCAUGCUUAAGAAACACAACUUUAGUUUUUCGACUAUAACUCACCGGGAGGAACGUUAUCAGGCGCCAAAAGCCUUUUAAAACAGAGAACUCUGCUCGUGGAGUCACAUAUUCUGUUUUAUCUGUACAAGCCACCCAAGUCAUUUCACAGACCAGCCGAAAGAAGCCUCCCUGGGGAUGAGCUAACGAGGAGGAUUAGAUACAACUGUUCUCUGGCCAGGUGUCAAGACCCUGUUGGCAGAGGAACGGCAGAGACAUCUUGUGAAUUAUCUCCCAGUCACUGAUGCAAACCACUCAGAAUAAAUCAGGAUUGAAGAUUGAUUUCUACAAAAUUGCUUUAUUACUCAGGUAAAAUUUAUUGAUCUGUUAUAGAAAGAAAAAAAACAUAAUCGAAAGAGGAUAGUCCAUGCCUAAAUAGCAAACAUAAAACCUCCCAUAAAUCCUUUCAUUUCAGAUAUUUGAUAUUUAGUGCAGAAUAUGUUCUUGGGGAAGUUCAUCUUUGUGUAAAUUAUGUUGUCUGGGAGGAAACUUACAGAACUCAGGCAUCUUAAAACCCAUGAGUGAGUUAUUAAAAUAUACACUGAUAAGUAUGGUGACCCUAAUUUCCAAGCCCUAAAUCAGGACACAUAGUCACGAAAUGGUUUUUCCCCCUCUCUUCUUUAAAAAAUUAUUCUGGUAAUAGUUUUGCCCAUGAAAACAUUAAAUCAG
rnacentral:lncRNA from 1 species